AGAAGCACUCUAGCUACAGAUUAGAAUGAUGACAAGAGUAAUACCUUCCUAGUGAAGAUGACUUUUAUUUCAGGACUAUAUUAAGUUUCCCAACUUCUGUCAUGAUAUAGUCCAAAGAGAACCUGGACCACGCAGACAUCAAACAGAACAUGACACUGACCCAUUCUAUCAGUGACGUUGUGCUGAUUGCACAGGACAGAUGAGAGGCUCGUAUACUAGAAGUCUUGAUAACUUGUUUUCUAGUUUCACAUGUCCACAGAUGAAGAAAAAUUGUGCCCCAGCAAGGAUUAUACCCAGAGCCUCAUCCAUUCAUACCUGAUUUAGAUACUUAGAUGAUGAGUAAUAGAAAAGGAUCCUGUGUUACCAAGGUGGUUAUCAAACCUGGGUCAAAGUUGAAUCACCUGAGGAUCUUUUAGAACAUACACAGUCAUAUGAUACUUCAAAAUCUGUGAUUCCAUGAAGCCAAGAGUAGCUCUUCAACAGGAAAUGAAUGAGUGCUUCAGCUUCUGAUCCCAUUAGUAAGAAAAUACAGUCUUAUGAGCAAUGAUGGAGCUGCAUCUCUUAGGGGCAUUUGAUUCCCAAGAGACCAAAGAGCAAAGAGAAUGUCAAUUUAAAAAAAUCAAAUGUUUCCAUGACUUAGCUAUUUAACUGCUUUAAAAUGAAUGAAUGCUGCUUCAAGUUCUUUCAAAUACCCCACAUCUUGGCAACAACGAAAGGAAUUAACAUGAAGAAAAUUUACAAUCUUUCAUCACAUCGAACAAUGUCCCACAUUUGAAAAGUUCACAGCACAGAUUUCUGGUUACUGAAAGAAAGGAAAGACCUUCUUUGGAUUUGAAUAAACAGAUGGACUUUCUUCUCCUUU
rnacentral:lncRNA from 1 species